CAGAACGACGCUGGCGGCGCGUUUUAAGCAUGCAAGUCGAGCGGCAAGGGCCUUCGGGCCCCUAGAGCGGCGGACGGGUGAGUAACACGUGGACAAUCUCGCCCCCCGGCCCGGGAUAGCCCAGGGAAACCUGGAUUAAUACCGGAUGAGACGGGACCCGCGAUGGCGGGAUCCGGGAAAGGCGCUGCGGCGCCGCCGGGGGAUGAGUCUGCGUCCCAUUAGCUAGACGGCGGGGUAACGGCCCACCGUGGCGACGAUGGGUAGCCGGCCUGAGAGGGUGGACGGCCACAUUGGAACUGAGACACGGUCCAGACUCCUACGGGAGGCAGCAGCUAAGAAUCUUCCGCAAUGGGCGAAAGCCUGACGGAGCGACGCCCGCGUGAACGAAGAAGGCCGUGAGGUUGUAAAGCUCUUUUCGGGAGGGGGAACAACCGUGGCAGGGAAUGGCCGCGGGAUGACGUGAAUCCCGGAAUAAGCCCCGGCUAACUACGUGCCAGCCGCCGC
rnacentral:rRNA from 1 species